rnacentral:lncRNA from 1 species
UUUAUAAACCUGGUGGUAAAUGUUACUUGGGUUUUCUGAAACAAUCAUUUCUUUCUUUUAGUUUUAGCAUUUGAAAGACAUUUUGAAGGAAUGAUCAAGAAACAAUCACACAUAUUUGCAUCUCAUUGUGGAGACAGAGGGACAAACUUUAACUAUAACUUUAUUCGUGUUUGCAAAUCUGUGACAGUGACGUAG